ensembl:lncRNA
GGAGCACAGAGCGGACAAACACAGGAAAACUAAUGCUAUUCUUGCUUCAGAUUUUCUGUUGCAUUUUUUGUGUCAUGUGCAUAUCACUGGGCAUUGAACAGGAAAUGCAAACAUGGGACAAAGAUAACCGUUUCAUUUCCAAUAAAAAAAAGGGUCACGAGGAAACCUGGAGCCUAUCCCAGGGCGCAUCGGGCACAAGGCGGGGUACACCCUGGACAGGGUAAGCCUGGAAAGUUGUCAGGAGUCUCAGUGCAGCUUGGGAGAAGAAAGAGACAAGCUGGAAGAAUGCCCAGAUGUGGAUGGGAGAAUGGAGGUCCAGGUUUUCCCCUAUUUCACAGCUACCUCUUCAGGAGGUUGGAUUUAAAAAAAUGUUCCUCUGAGACUGAUGAAGCCAUUACCAAUAGCUUAUCCAGCUGCAAUGUCACAGGACAGCUGAAGGUGCUACUGUAUUGAACAGAAAUGAAAAGACAGAUGUCUGUGAUUGGAUAGCAGCAUACUAAUUACUGCACAGGAAGAAGGAAAACAAGAGAAACAUUUCCAUCCAGAGAGCCAAGCCAGUUAUGCUUUCUUGGACUUCUAGCCACAGAUGACUGUAGCAUUACGAGGAUUUUAAGCUGCAAUCUCCUGACAAUAACUGAAAAUCUUAGCUAAACCACUUAGGUGACGGUUCCCACUUGUUUUGCUCACAUUCUUCUUUAUUCUUGUGAAUGUCAACAGUCACAUUAUCAAUAAAG